UAUUUUUAAUUCAAAAUCAUAUAAUCAAAUAAUGAUAAAUUAUCAUUGAUAUUCAGUUCGAUACUAAUUACAAAUAAAUAAAUGUAGUAUACAUUAAUAUUUAAAUUAUAUAGUAAUUAGUCACUAAUUAGGUCUAUCAAGGGGAAACUUUGAUUAAAGAGUUUGAGUUUCAACUAGGGCUUGCUUUGGUGGCUCCAAGUAGGGAAAGAUUGGAGCCAACUGAGCCUCCUCUAGGCAUUCCAGGAGCUCGGUGGUGGCGACAUCGAAAAGAACCCACAUGAGUGGUGGGUGAGCAAAGGCACCGCGUAUUUGAAUGCUUUCUGAAGUCGUUGUGCAAGCGAUGUGAGCCUUGGAAGGAUGAUUGUCUCUUGAGGCCUCCCAAGUUGAAGGUUGGAUCUGAUGUCUGUCGAUUCUUCUUGGAGAUCGUGAAUUUGCAGGAAGAAAGAAAAGAAUCUCCAAGCUUUGAUAUUAUUGUAGAGGACAAGGAUGGCAUGGCAAGGAAGGGAUAUGAAAUCUUUGCACAGACAGAGCAAUACAAUAGAAUUGGAAAAAUGGCUCAAAAACUUGUUAAUAUUGCUAUAAUUCUGGUCUGGACUUUCUAAUUACACUUCUAAAUAUGUGGAGACAUCUAAUCAAUAAAUUUGAGCCAUUAUUUUUUUUUCUUUUUUUCCUAA